CGCCAGGAGGGACGUGCUGGGGGGGCCGAGCGCGCAGGCGCCUUGGCGCUGCCGACCCCCGGGAGGCCGCCGCUGCCGACCCCCGGGAGGCCGCCCCCCGCUCCGACGAGCACCCGGGAUGCCUGUGCGCGGGGAGGCGGGCAGGGCUGGGCUGCGUCGUCCCGGCACGGGCCGCAAGGCUUUUGGGUUGUUUUUUUAUGACGUCCCCGCGCGGGCCGGGGGCGGGUCGGGGGCGGGUCGGGGCGGGCCGGGGGCGGGGUCCUCUGGCCCGGGCGAGGCGGAGGCGGGCGGACUCCUUCCUCGGGUGGUUCUGGGCGAGCGGAAAGGGCGGCCCCGCCGGCCGUGCCGGGGGCGGGAGGGCGGAGUGAGAGCCCGGGCCCCCGACGGGCGGCGCCUCCGUGUCCCGUCCGGGGAGCGGAGAGUGGGGCCGAGCGUGGGGCGCGGUGCGGAGGCCCCGCGAGCUGAGUGCGCCCCGAGGCCGAGGCGCGGAGGAACCGCGCUGCUCGCGUCGGUCGGACGAGCUGGACUCGCGAGCGGCGGCACCGGCUCCCCGGAGAGGCUGGGCAGAGGAGUGGACCCCGCUGUCGGCGCCCGCCUCGGCCUAGCCCCCAGACCGAGUCCGCCCCGCGGACGAGCCCCGGGCCUGGCUGUGCCCUCAUCUCCCCGGCGCUCCCUUCGUCCCGACGGCGCCUGGGCUCGGCCCGGGCUGGUCCUGGACACACGCGCCCCCGCCGGGGCACUCGGCGUGAGAGUUGAGCCCGGCGCCCCGGCCUCCGGCCUCCACAUCCUCGGGGUGACAGCUCCCCGGGCGGUGGGCGUGGCGCUACGGUGCGGCGCGGGGGCCGCCCACAGCUGCAGGGGUUGUGCCCGGACCCCUGGCCCCUGGCCCCUGGCCGUGGCCCAUGUGAGGACACGCAGGUGAACCUACCUGAGGCAAAGAAAGCAAAAUUCCAACGUGGGGACGGGGACGGAGAUCUCUGAGGAGGAUCUCAGGGCCGGGGCCUUGACUGGCUCACCUCUGCCCUGCACCCUGGGGGACCUGGAGCAGGCCCCUUGUGGGUGGAAAGAGAACACCGGGCCCCAGUGGCUGAGCUGGGAGGGCCUGGGCCUGGAGAAAUGGGGCCUUCUCAUCACCACAAGCCUUGUGAACCUGCUUGGCACUCAGGAACCUGAGUCCCUGGAGGAGAAAGUGCCAUAACCCUGUGUGUGCUCCCGGAUCCAGCUGGGCUGGCCUUCCCUGAAAGCCCCCAAAAGGCAGACUGAUAAAUUUCUUCUGUUCCUCCUCAGUUGGUCUGACUUGGGUCUUCCCUUACAUGUCGCAGAAGAGCCUGCGUCCGAUGGAAGUUCUGUAGCCGCCUUGGAGAUGGUCCUCAGAGGCUAAGCUGAGUCCCAGCUUCUCUGUUCGAAGAGUUACAUGAGCUGACGUCUGAGACGCUUUCUUGUGGCUCCUCAAGAGGUUAUGGACGGGCGCCUGCGUGGCUCCGUGGGUGAAGCCGCUGCCUUCGGCUCAGGUCAUGGUCUCAGGGUCUUGGGAUCGAGCCCCGCGUCGGGCUCUCUGCUCAGC